UUGGAUAACUAGUUUUUCAGGAGAAAAAUAGAGGUUUGAGUCUAUACAAUAGCAUCGGGAUCAAAAUUGCUUGUAUUAAUAAUUUAGUGAUGAAAACAACUCGGAGAAGCUCAAAUCUCUCAAGAAAAAUAGGGAAAAUUAGGAUCGAAAUUUCUUGUAUGAAGAAUUUAGUGAUGAGGACGGCUUGGAGACUCAAACAAUGUCGAAAAUUAGAGAAUAGAAAAAUAGGGAAAAUGGAUCAAAAUUGCUUGUAUGAAGAAUUCAGUGAUUCAACUAGGGCAAGGUGUGCAUGGGGUCUCUUGAUUCUAACUUGAAUUUUUAUUUUUAAUUACAUGUUUAUCUCAAUAAAAGAUGAAAUUCCUUAAUUGUAAUUUUUUAGGCUAGGCUAUGUAUGUAAUGGUAGAAAUUAGAUUUUU
rnacentral:lncRNA from 1 species